rnacentral:rRNA from 1 species
GGCAACGUUCAUAUCACGUUGUAAUUACCAGUUCUCGUCCGAUCACUGAAGUCAAGCAACGUUGAGCACAGUUAGUACUUGGAUGGGUGACCGCUUGGGAAUACUGUGUAAUGUUGUCC